UUGUAAUCGUUAAGCCUCGAUUUAACCAAACCAGAAAAUGUAACGCAUAUUCAAUACAGUUCAAUGCAGAAUAUAAAUUUAAUGAGAGUUAUACAACAUAAUGAACAAAAUGUACAAUAGAGCUGAUUACAUUUGGAGCUAAUCGCUGACAGAACAGUAACAAAUACCAGUGGAAAACUUGUACAAAUAUCUGCAGGGAACUCUGUCAACAGUUUUUACAUUAUUUACUUUAGCUUGAAACUGUGUACAGAAAACGUUUGAUCGGAUUACACAGCAUUAGAAUCGUUUUUAAAUGUACUUAAAGUAGCUACCGUCCUAAAGAAUUUCUCUAAUUGACGGUUUGAAGGAAUGAGUAAGUCGAAAACAACGCUAAAACUGACCACAGAAUGCUAAUUUUCGGAUCUAUUCUACGUAUAAGUGUUCUAUCCCAACAAAUCGAGUAUUGGUUGUGUUUAUUUUUGGCUCAAGAUGGUCGUGUCUUUGAUCCAGUCCAACGGUCAGUCAAGCCUCGUCCAUAAGGCAUUUUAGGACAAAAUCUUACGACAAGACCCAACCAGAACGAACUCAGAUUUUGAAUGUGGACGCUACAUGAGAUUGGGAUUGGACACAGCCCUAACUUAAGAUUGGGCCCGAACAAAACUUAGGACCCAUUUAAAUGUUAGGACUAGACCCAAGAACAGAACUUAGAAUUGGACCCAAUUAGACAUUAGGACUAGACACAAUCAAAACUUCGGACUUGACCCGACCAGGAUCCCAAUAAAACUUUGGACUUGACCCGACCAGGAUCCCAAUAAAACUUUGGACUUGGCCCAACGAAAACUUAUGCUACAACUCCGUUGCAAAUUAGACAAAACUUAGGACUGAUCAAACUAGAACUGGUCACUGCUAGCGUAAAAUGAAAGGCGACUGUCUGAGAUAUUUUAAUUUUAAGCGAUAAAGACGAAACCUUUGGCGAUAGUCUAAAACCUUUCGACCUGAGGCGAAAGUCUAAAACCGUUCGGUCUGAAGCGAUAAUCGGAGACCUUGCAACAUGAGGCGAUAGCCUGAACCAUUUCGACCAAAGGUAAUUGCCUAAUAUCUUUGGACCAGAAAUAAAUUUGACUGAAUAUUGAUUGUACCUGUUGACCCGGACCUUGUAUAUCUAAGAUUUAGCAUUACACACAAGAACAUGCAAUAUCCUUAGUUGAUGAGACAUCUAGUCUAGAAUGUAAAAGAAAAGAAGUUAAAUCUAGAUAAUUUGUUUGCGUACGAAGGUGUGCUUUUAUGAAAGAGUGCAUCAGAAUGGGGAUUAAAGGCGAACACCUAAUAUAUCUUGACAUGUAAUCAAAUGUGGAAUCAGUAAAAACAUGCAUGUAGUAUUCGGAUAUAUGGAAGUUCUUGUCUCUAGCUGGAAGUUGAGGAUAACGUUCAAGCUCUAGACGAUAUGAGGUACAAUCGGAAACAAUGGCCACACCAGUUAUAUGACCAAGAAAGGAAAAACAGGAGUGUCCCGUAUUACAGUUACAUAGCCUAGAAUCGGAACGAAUCAUUGUCUAAUAUUUUAAUAGUUUAAAGCCUCAUAUAAGGGAACAGUACCUCGUGUUACUUAAGAUACAAAGCACUGAAUGAGGAAUCAUCAAUUCCCCGUAUCAGAGUUACAUGAUCAAGAAAGGGGAAGCAUCAGUGAUCCGUAUUACAAUUAAAUAGCCUAGAAUAUAAGAGAAUCAGUACCCUGCGUAACAGUUAUACAGCCUAGAAUAAAGGAGCAUCAUUACCCUGCAUUACAGUUAUAUAGCCUAGAAGAAAGGAGCAUCAUUGCCCUGCAUUGCAGUUACAAAUGUAUAUAGCCUAGAAUAAAGGAGCAUCAUUACCCUGCAUUACAGACAUAGUUUGCAAAAAUUACCUAUUUAUAUACACGAAUCUUUUUUAUUUUUUCUUAGUUUGCUCAAAACCUUUAUGUCUUUAAACUGUUCUGGAUAAACAUGACUCAACCUUUUAAACGAAAUUACAUCAAUAGUACUCCUUUAGAAACAGUAAAUGUUGAAGCCCAUAUCGGCUCGGUCAUUUACUAUUCCAAGUUACCAACAUAUUGACAGAGCGCCAGAUAAAGGUGUUAAUCAAAUUGCAUGGGCUCACUUUAUCUCGAAAUCCUCUAAAGAGUACCUAAGAAGCGGAGAUUUUAGGUCGUCACUUUGCUUUAUAUUUAGGUAAUCUAUAAUUGUGGGAAAUGAAAAGUUGACUUUAGAAAAAUGAUAUAAAAAUCCAGUCCUUAAGUGCUUUAUAUUUUAUGUUGUAUUUGAUGGGCAUAAAUCAAAUCUCCACUGGCAUAUAAGCUUGGCGUUUCUCAUAUGUUUGUUUAUGGUAGGGCUACACAUUCUUAACCGUAAAUGUGAUAUAAUGAGAAUAAAACGUUCAGACCCUUUUUAAACAUUUAAGACAUGUAUUUACUUGUUCAAAGUGAGUUUUUAACCUGGUUAGACAAACACAGAAAUCACUAAUCGGUCGUGUCGCCAGCUGGUAUACUAAUACAAACAUUCUUUACUACAUAAUAUACAUUUUGUAUCUCCAUUACUUCUAUAGUUUCAGCUUUGUUUCAUCCAUUGGAAUGGACUUUUAACCGCUA